AAUCGGAAGAAUUCAGAGAACUGAACAAGAGAUGUGAAGCAGAGGAGGAGGCAUCAGCAGGCCUACGCCUGAAGAGCCAGAGGAAGGGGCUGUCCCUGGACGGAGAGCAGCUGUAGCUGGAGAAGAGGAUGCCCCAGCAAGAGCUGUGAGCUUCAGGCAUGUCACUGUAGGCCAACCCAGUGCCCAGCGCAUAGUAGGUGCUCCGUGAGAAGGAAGCUGGAGUUGGCGAUGCACUCUUGGAGGCACUGGAGGCUCCAUUCCCUACCUCUGGCUAUAGCAAUUUGUGUGACAUCCAGGAAAGCAAUGAUGGGUGGAGGAACAAGACCAGCAUGGAAGGUAAGGAUAUGAGUCCUGGAACCAGACUUUCUGGGUUCAAAUCCUGCAUCCAGUACUAUAGUGAGCUUGGAAAGUUGCUAAGACUCCCUCCUCCAUUCUGGGGUCUCAGUUGUCUUAUCUAAAAAAUGGGAAUAAUGAAAUGAAUAAAUACAUUUAAAGCUUUUAGCAAUGAUAAAGGGCUCCAUAAAUGUUAGAUAUUACUGUGAUUGCUAGU